rnacentral:lncRNA from 1 species
AAAAAUGGAGCUGAUUUUAGAGCAGCACUGAAUUUUACAAUGAAAGAUAAUACUUUCUAUAUGAUUUAAUCCUCUUUAUCAGGAUAAGGAAAUUCUCUUGUAUUCUUAGGUUAAGAGGUUGUUGUUCUCCUUAAAUCAUAAGUUAGUGUUUAUCUUCUAUAAGGUUUUAGUUCAGUAGUAUUUUUUUACCUGCAUUAUUAGUUACGAUUAUUAUUAUUUUACACACUCAGUGCUCCUUUAGAUUUACCUGUAUUAUCUUGCAUUUUCUUUGCUCACCCGAGCUUCAUGUAUCUUAUUCCAUCUUCCCAGGUUCAAUUUACUUUUGGUCAAAGAAUACCUCUUAGUAGGGUAUUGUGUGUAGGUCUUCAGUGGGACACUCUCUCAGGAUGUUUUGGUUCUGAAAGUCUUCAUUUCAUCCAUUCUGUUAGUUCUCUUUUCACUACAUUGAUUGUUUCCUUUGGUAUGCUGAAGCGUUUUACUUUUAUGUAAUCCCAUUUGUUUAUUUUUGCUUUUGUUGCCUGUGCUUUGAGGUCUUAUUCAUAAAAUCUUUUCCAAGACCAAUAUCAUAAAGCAUUUUCCCUGUGUUUUCUUCUAGUAGUUUUUAUAGUUUCAGGUUUUACAUUUAAGUCUUUGAUCCAUUUUGAGUUAACUUCUGCAUAGGGCGAGAGAUACCUGCAAACUAUUCAUCCAACAAGGGAUUUGUAUCUAGAAUACACAAGGAAUUCAAACAUCUCAACAGCAAAAAAAAAAAAAAAUUAAAAAUGGGCAAAUGAUUCAAACAGAUAGUUCUCAGAAGGACAUGCAAAUGACUAACAAAUAUAUGGAAAAAGUUCAGUAUCACUAAUCAUCAGAUAAAUGCAAAUCAAAACCACAGUGAGGUAUCAUCUCACUUCAGUUAGAAUGGCCAUUGUCAAAAAUACAAAAAAAAAACCAAAAAACAAAUGCUGGUGAGGAGGUGGAGAAAAGGGAAUUCUUACACACUAUUGGUGGGAAUGUAAACUACUACAGCCACUGUAGAGAAUAGUAUAGAGUUUCCUCAAAAAAACAAAAAUAGAACUAGCAUAUGAUCUAGCAGCCCUACUACUGGGUAAAGAACCAAAGCAAAGAAAAUCAGUACAUCCAAGAGUUGUCCAUACUCCAUGUCCAUUGCAGCACUAUUCACAAUAGCCAAGCUAUGGAGUCAACCCAAGUCUCCAUCAACAGAUGAAUGGCUAAAGAAAAUAUGAUUUUAUACACACACAUACACACACCUACACACACACACACACACACACACACACACACAGUGGAAUACUAUUCAGCAAUAAAAAGAAUGAAUUCUUGUCCUCCAUGGAAACAUGGAUGAGCCUGGAGGAAAUGGUGUUAAGUGAAAUGAGCCAGGAACAGGAAGUUAAACAUGUUCUCACUCAUAUAUAGAAGCUAAAAUAGUUGAUCUCAUAGAAGUAAAGAGUAGAAUCCAGGUUAUUCAAGGGUGGAAAGGGAAGGGGGAUAUAGGGAGAGAUUUGUUAAAGGACAAAAAAUUACAGUUAGGUGGAAUAAGUUCUAAUGUUUUAUAGCACUGUAGGAUGACUGUAGUCAAGAAUAUAUAUUUUCAAAUAGCUAAAAGAGGACAUUGAAUUCUCCCAACACAAAAAAUGAUCAAUAUUUCAGAUGGCAGAUAUGCUAAUAUCCCUGAUCUGAUUACUAUACAUUGUAUGUAUAGAAACACCAAUACGUACCCCACAAAUACAUACAGUAUUAUGUAUGAAUUUUUAAAAAUAAAUAAUUUUUAUAGUCAAUGAAAAUAGUUUAUUAUUUUAUUGUUUUUUGUUUAUACAUGUUAAGUUUCAACUUUCAAUAAUAAAAUUCAAUAAAUUUGAUUCCUUAAUCAUAAAAACUUGCUUUACACAUUAGUUACAUGUUGUCAAAGUCCAUACAAAACAUCACAAGGAUUUGAUUGACUCUAUGCAUGGUACCAUCACACAGAAGGAGGAGGGAGCUAAUCCAGUAACAAACAUUCAAAGAUUAAAUUGUAGAUAUGCACAGUGUAUUUGGCACUGUUGAUUAAUAUUAUAACACCUUCCUCUCAAAGACAGGCAUUCUUAAGCGUUAGUCACAAUAUACCAGAAUUUGCUAUUCAUAUUAAAACCACCUUUUAAACUUUAUAACAGUAACCAAUUAUUAUAGUUUUAAGAAACAAAACGCAAUGAGAACUGGGAAUGGAAUUCAAAUCCUCCAACUUCUUGCUAUGCUCCAAGCUGCCAUCCAUAAAACAGGUUUAAUUUGGUAAUUUUUCCAUUGUGGGAAGUGUCAACAAGAAACAAUUUAAAGACAAUAUUUUCCAAUACAAAUAAAGACAUACACUUUUGUUUAAAAUGAACAGUUCUUCUUGGGAGUGCAAAGGGAGCCUUGAUGACGUACAGCUUGUGAUGAUUUUGGCAGCAAUUACAGAACAACCAAGGCCAUUCAAGUUGUGGAGAUUAUACUAGCAGGUGAACUCGUAAAGAGAAGAUUCUGGAAUGCCUAUAUCUGAAAUCAGAAUCCUAGUAGUUUGUAGUUUGCCUCUUCCUAGAAGUUCAAGAGACUCAAGUCAUAGGCUACAGAUGUACUUUCAAGUAUAUAAUUAUGAAUGGAAGGAGAAAAUAAAAGCACAAAAAUGCAAAUAUUAAACCUUUAGUGACUUGGACUAUAUUCCAGUAGGUAAUUUAUUCCACUAACUUCACUUUAACAAAGAUUAAAUCCCUUUAUUUUAAUCAGGUCCAUUAAAUUUCAUUCAUUAAAGUUAUACAUACUCCAGAAUGUUUAUAAGACAUUUACACCGAUCAUGUUUACAAAAAGCAUAAAUUCAGUCUUAAGCUGCACUACAAAUGCCUUAAUAUAACAUAAUCACAGUAUAAGGAAACAAAUCAGAAAUUCUCUGAUUAGAUAUGCUGUAGCUUCACAGAAAACUCUCAGUAAUAAAUUAAAACAAAAAGACUUACAAUGUAUAAUGGGCUAUGCAGUGCAAAAUGAUGUCACCGGACCAAAAUUUAGUUCAAUCAUUUUUAUUUCAAGUGUGUUUUAAAAAUCAUAAACGGGGUUUCAUAAUCCAAAGCUGAAACAUUUAUUCUUCAUAGCUUCAGAAUUGACAAGCAAUUGUAGACCAUGCUUUCCAAAUCCACUCUUCUUUGCUAUUUUUCAAAUUUCUGAGAUCUAGUAUUAAACUGCUCCAUUCUAAAUGUACAGUUUUAGAUAACUAUUGUACACUUGUUGAUAAGAGUUUUCUGAAAACAGUCUAUCAAAUACAAAGAAUGGUUUCUAUCCAAGAAUCAGCAGUGAGGGAAGAAAUACUAAACACCUGUCAAGAAAUCAGUUAUUCAUUUUAAAAAAUAACAGAACCAGUGCUGCUCUCUGUCAUAAAAAAGAACAUGUAAAAUUUAUUUUUAUAGGCUUUGGUAACAUUAUAUUCCCCACAGAGGCCUUCAAUCCUACUUAAAGAUAUUUUACACACGGUAACCAUCAGGUUUACUGAGUAAAAAUCUCAGGUAUUAACCAUGCCCCUAAAAUGUGCUGUUCCAAAGAGGAACAGGUUACUUUUGAGGAAAAAAGCUGCCUUGGUAACUUCCCUCAAAUGUUUAUUUUAAAUAAAAAUAGUUGAUGGAAGUAUUUUUUAAACCAACUUUGGAUAUAAUAUGGCAUACUGCCCAUCAAACAAAAAAGGAAAUCAAAACUUUUCUUCCAUUUAUAAUGAGUUUUCCACCUUUACUUUUAAGAUUACAACUUACUGACCUUUUAUGCUUGUUUGGUUUUUUGACUGCCUAAUCCAAUAUUUAAAUUUUUAAAAGUCUGCAUUUCAAUGUAGUAAGAGUUCUUUUUCAAAUAAUCUUCAUAAGCCAGAAUACAGACACCAGAGCAACACUCUCAAGUCACACUGUUUGACUAUAAUGAAGAGAUGAAAAUGGGCGGAUAUCUGAAGAUAGGUAUUCCCUCUGCUCUGAAGGUGAGCAAGCUUUUAACAUGUGAGCAACACAGAACUCCUUUCCUCUGGGGCUCCUUUCAACUCAGAAUGCUUCAGUUCAGUAAGUCAAUAUGUUAUUCCUAAAAAUUAAAGUUUGGUCACUAAGAAGGACUGAACAAAAUUUAUUCCCCUCCCGCCAAACACAACCAGAACAGUUCUAAUCAGGCCCCCUUCUCCCCACGAAAACAGGGAAGUAGCUGGGCUGAAGACUUUAUUAAGUGUGACAUUUCAGUUCCUAAAACAUCACUGCUAUAUGCUCAAAGUUGUAGGUCUAUGUAUUUCCUUCUCCAACACGUCCCCAUUUAUGUUUAUUUCCACACAUACAAACGUGCACAUGUGUGCACGCACACACGCACACACUCACUCUCAAGUAAGACACUUCUUUGUGUUUGUUGAUAAAUUAUGAGGAUUAUGAACUAGGUGUGUACAGGGUUUCAUAGGUGCUUUCUAAACAUCAGAGUCACUUGGGUCCUUUCCUCCAUAAGCCUCAGAUCAAAUUAUGCAACCAAUGACCACCACUUUCCCAGACGCUGUUCACAGGACCGAACUUCAGUACUAAAUCAGGAUCAGGACAACCAUUUGAACUGAGUAAACUAACAUAUCUACAUCCAC